GUCUACAGCCAUACCACCCUGAACACGCCUAUCUCGCCUGAUCUCAGAAACUAGGCAGGGCUGGGCCAGGUUCCAGCUUGGAUGGGAGGAGAAGAGAAAGUUAGUUUCCCUAGAAA
ensembl:rRNA 5S_rRNA 5S ribosomal RNA